rnacentral:rRNA from 1 species
GAACGCUCGGUCCGAUCGGGUAGUAGGUAAGCGAUGGGGUGACGCAGGAAGGUAGUCCAGCCCAGGCGAUGGUUGUCCUGGGGUAAGCAUGUAGCCCGUGUUGCAGGCAAAUCCGCAACACUUGUGGGUGAGAUGUGAUGCCGAGCCGAUUGUGGUGAAGUGGAUGAUCCUAUGCUGCCGAGAAAAGCCUCUAGUGAGUGUUGUGGCGGCCCGUACCCUAAACCGACUCAGGUGGUCAGGUAGAGAAUACUAAGGCGAUCGGGUGAACUGUGGUUAAGGAACUCGGCAAAUUGCCCCCGUAACUUCGGGAGAAGGGGGGCCUCUGCUGGUGAACAUCCUUGCGGUGGGAGCUGGUGGGGGCCGCAGUGGCCAGGGGGAAGCGACUGUUUACUAAAAACACAGGUCCGUGCGAAGUCGUAAGACGAUGUAUACGGACUGACGCCUGCCCGGUGCCGGAACGUUAAGGGGACCGCUUAGUUCAGCUUCGGCUGGGCGAAGGUGAGAACUUAAGCGCCGGUAAACGGCGGUGGUAACUAUAACCAUCCUAAGGUAGCGAAAUUCCUUGUCGGGUAAGUUCCGACCUGCACGAAUGGCGUAACGACUUCCCCGCUGUCUCAACCGCAGACCCGGCGAAAUUGCACUACGAGUAAAGAUGCUCGUUACGCGCAGCAGGACGGAAAGACCCCGGGACCUUCACUACAGCUUGACAUUGGCGUUUGGAGCGUCUUGUGUAGGAUAGGUGGGAGACUGGGAAGCUCGGACGCUAGUUCGGGUGGAGUCAUUGGUGAAAUACCACUCUGGUCGUUUUGAACGUCUAACUCUGGUCCGUGAUCCGGAUCGGGGACAGUGUCUGGUGGGUAGUUUAACUGGGGCGGUUGCCUCCUAAAGGGUAACGGAGGCGCCCAAAGGUUCCCUCAGCCUGGUUGGCAAUCAGGUGUUGAGUGUAAGUGCACAAGGGAGCUUGACUGUGAGACUGACGGGUCGAGCAGGAGCGAAAGCUGGGACUAGUGAUCCGGCAUCGGCGUGUGGAAGCGGUGUCGCUCAACGGCUAAAAGGUACCCCGGGGAUAACAGGCUGAUCUUCCCCAAGAGUCCAUAUCGACGGGAUGGUUUGGCACCUCGAUGUCGGCUCGUCGCAUCCUGGGGCUGGAGUAGGUCCCAAGGGUUGGGCUGUUCGCCCAUUAAAGCGGUACGCGAGCUGGGUUUAGAACGUCGCGAGACAGUUCGGUCCCUAUCCGCUGCGCGCGCAGGAGACUUGAAAGGGGCUGUCCCUAGUACGAGAGGACCGGGACGGACGAACCUCUGGUGUGCCAGUUGUACCGCCAGGUGCACGGCUGGUUGGCUACGUUCGGAAGGGAUAACCGCUGAAAGCAUCUAAGCGGGAAGCUCGCCUUGAGAUGAGGUCUCCCACCCCGUGAGGGGGUAAGGCUCCCGGUAGACGACCGGGUUGAUAGGCCGGAGGUGGAAGCACGGUAACGUGUGGAGCUGACCGGUACUAAUAGGCCGAGGACUUGACC